rnacentral:misc_RNA from 1 species
GAGUAGACUUCAUGUGAGGUUAGGGAAUGAUAUAUAUAUAUCUGAAUUCUGAAGCAUGUGGUUGUUUCUGUGAGGGCAUGGAUUAUUCUUUUAUAGCCCUUGGCAUGUGCUUAUGCACAUUGUUUCUUCUCUUUCUACUAGUUAAAUAUGUAAAGUCAACAAAUCAUAAUAUUUUUCCUCUAUUUUAAAUGAACUAUAAUUUCUUGAAAUUUACAAUGACUGUGUACAUAUGCACUUAUUUUUACAAAAAUUUGAACUUAAUUGAUGAGUUAAC